CUCUGGGUUCAACAAGUAGAUGGGUCUCCUUGGACAUCGUGGCGACAGCCCCCCACCCUGCCCUAGCAGAAGGAUCGUGGGUGGACUGCUAGAUAAGGCCACAUCUAUCCCUUCUUUCUCUGUUCUAGGUCCCCGAUCUUUGCUCCUCUCUACCUCAGUCCCCGCGGGGCUCCUGUGUACACAGUUUUCCAGACAAGUCAUUUUUGCUGCCUAAAAGCACCCCCUCCUGUUCUCCAGCUGGCGAACGUGAGCAUGUGAGGUUACGUGGCAAAGGGAACUGAGCUCGCAGAUGGACGUUCGCUGCAUUUAGGAUAGGGAGAUGAUCCUGGGUUACCUGAGUGAGCCCAGCGUCAUGACAAGGGUCCUUCAAAGUGGAAGAAGGAACUGGAAGAGAGACUCAGAGGGAUGGCGGCAUGAGAAGGAUGCCGCCCUUUGCUGCUGGCUUUGAAGAUAGAGAAGAGGGGGGCGGUCAAGAGCCCCGAGCAUCAAACCUCCACAGUGUGCAGAGCCUCGAAGAUGGAAAAGGCGAGAAAAUGGGUCCUCCCCGAAAGCCUCCAGGAGGACACACAGCUGGGCUGACUCCAGCACAGUGAGACCUACUUCCGACUUCUGAACAACAGGGCCGUCAGAUAAAUUGGUAUUAUUUUGAGCCAACAUGUUUGUGGCAGUUCGUUACAGCAGCCACAGAAAACUAAUACAGUGUUGUUGUU